UAUGUUAGGUAGUCUCUAGUAAAGCAGUGAUUAGAUAAGCGUUGUCUUCGGAUUCCACUUAUCAAAUAAUUCUCCUUCUUUAGUGCGCCAUACGUAUUCUGACGAAAAAUCAUAAAUUGCCAUAUGGCACUUAAACACUGUAAAGGAAAUUAUUAUGUCUAACAAAAUGACUGGUACCGUUAAGUUCUUCAACGCUGAGAAAGGUUUUGGUUUCAUCUCCCCGGCUGACGGCAGCAAAGACGUGUUCGUACACUUCUCCGCUAUCCAGUCCACCAGCUUCAAAACCCUGGACGAAGGUCAGCGCGUUGAGUUCACCAUCGAGCAAGGCCAGAAAGGUCCUGCUGCUGCCAACGUAGUUGGUCUGUAAUUCAAGCCAAGGGUCAAGUAACCGGACUUAAGUCUGCUGGCUGACCACUGCAAGAAUUAAAAAAACCCGCCUAGGCGGGUUUUUUGUU
rnacentral:sRNA from 1 species